AUAGGGGACCUCGAGUGCCAGGUUACAAAUCUGGCUGUCGUGAUGCCUAAAAAGCAUUGCAUAGCAAGGGCCGGGCAAGACCGGUGCCAGCCGCCGCGGUAACACCGGCGGCUCGAGUGGUAACCGUUAUUAUUGGGUCUAAAGGGUCUGUAGCCGGCCGGGUAAGUCCCUUGGGAAAUCUGGCAGCUUAACUGUCAGGCUUUCAGGAGAUACUGUCUGGCUCGAGGCCGGGAGAGGUGAGAGGUACUUCAGGGGUAGGGGUGAAAUCUUGUAAUCCUUGAAGGACCACCAGUGGCGAAGGCGUCUCACCAGAACGGACCUGACGGCAAGGGACGAAAGCUAGGGGCACGAACCGGAUUAGAUACCCGGGUAGUCCUAGCCGUAAACGAUACUCGCUAGGUGUCGGCAACGGUGCGACCGUUGUCGGUGCCGUAGGGAAGCCGUGAAGCGAGCCACCUGGGAAGUACGGCCGCAAGGCUGAAACUUAAAGGAAUUGGCGGGGGAGCACCACAACGGGUGGAGCUUGCGGUUUAAUUGGAUUCAACGCCGGAAAUCUUACCGGGACCGACAGCAAUAUGAAGGCCAGGCUGAAGACUUUGCCGGAUUAGCUGAGAGGUGGUGCAUGGCCGUCGUCAGUUCGUACUGUGAAGCAUCCUGUUAAGUCAGGCAACGAGCGAGACCCACGCCCACAGUUGCCACCGUACUCUCCGGAGUGACGGGUACACUGUGGGGACCGCCGCUGCUAA
rnacentral:rRNA from 1 species